CUUCAAUAUGUCAAAUCACAUUUUACAAGUACUCAUCUGUAUAUUGUUAUUAAAUAUUGCAAUCCGAGAUAUCAUAUAUUUAUUAGUGCUCUUUUCUUAGUUCUGAAAUAUUUACAAUUGUAGAGUUUAGUAUUUACUAUUCCAUAUUCAUGAAAUUGUUAAUUAAGUGGAUGAUUAUAAAACAAGGUCGUGCAGCACUCUUAAGGUUAUAUGAUAAAUGCAGCAAACGAAUCACGAUGUGAUAAUUGUGUCAUCAGAAAUUUUGAAUCUCUUCUGAAUGCUAGGUAGAGUUUGAAGCAGUUAUUAUCUACAGAGAAGCAAAUACUGUGUAAUCUGUUCUCGGUUUUCUUAUUCAAAAGAAAUGGAUGCUCAAACAAUGGAUAAACAUGUAUCAACAAUUUUUCUUGAAAAAUAGACUGUUUUGGAUGCUUAAUGUGAAUGGAACGUACCUUUAUCUGUACAUAAAUACUGUUACCUCCAUCACAAUUGUAAAUAUAUAUUUAAUUUAUUCUAGUACUUAAAAGUAUACUUGGAUAGUUAUGUAUUUACAGUAUUUAUUAGUAAAAUAAUUUAUACAAGGAAAAACACCUCGAAACUCUUAUGUUGCGAUGAUAUUAGAUUUCUCCCUAAACACCUUGAAUUCUGGUCUUUUCUUUGCCAGAAGAGAUACCGGUGUCCAGACGUAAUUUGUACAAUCACCUAAACAGCAGUAGGAAGAGUACUACUAUUAAAAAAAAAUUUUAAAUUCUUUCAAUCUAAAUAGCUGGCUUAUGUUGGUAGAGAAUUCCAAUCAAUUUAAUGUAUAUGAAAUAGUAAAUACUAAACUGUACAAUUGUAAAUAUUUCAGAACUAAGAAAAGAGCACUAAUAAAUAUAUGAUAUCUCGGAUUGCAAUAUUUAAUAACAAUAUACAGAUGAGUACAUGUAAAAUGUGAUUUGACAUAUUGAAGUCUUCACGCAUGCGUGCUAGAUGCAGUUUAUGGAAUUCCGUAGAUAAAAUUUCUUUCAUUAUUUACGAUUAAAGAAUCAAUUAUUUCAUAUCAUCAAUGACAUAUAAAGUACCUACAAACGACUUACAAACGAUUGCAUAUGAGCAAAACACGAUUAGUUUAUAAAAUAUUUGAAUGAGGGGCUAACAUAAAGAAAAAUUCCCUAGAAAAUUAAUUGUUACGUCGCGGCCUAGUGGUAAAUAAUCUCAUUAGAAUUGAGCGGCGAAUUCAAAUGAGGGAUUAAAAUGGAAUCACGAUUUCUGUCUCUAAAUCAGAAGUCAAUACUUCGAUUUUCUCAGUCUGCCAUUAACGCAUAAAUAAAUAUUCUAAACAAUUCCGAGAAAGCUUUCUAGCCGCUACACGUGCAUAAACAUAUGGGCUAC